rnacentral:rRNA from 1 species
ACCCGCUGAAUUUAAGCAUAUAACUAAGCGGAGGAAAAGAAACUAACAAGGAUUCCCCUAGUAAGGGCGACUGAAGCGGGAUCAGCCCAGAUUGUAAACUGACCUUAAAUACAAGGUUGGGUUGUAGUCUAAAGAGGCGACGCCAGGCAAGGUCCGGGGAGAAGUCCCUUGGAACAGGGCAUCGGAGAGGGUGACAAUCCCGUCUGUGCCUCGGACCGCGUCGUACGGUGCGUCUUCGACGAGUCGGUUUGCUUGGGAUUGCAGACCAAACGGGUGGUAAAUUCCAUCUAAGGCUAAAUACGGGUGGGAGACCGAUAGCGAACAAGUACCGUGAGGGAAAGAUGCAAAGAACUUUGAAAAGAGAGUUAAAAAGGGCCUGAAACUGGUAAGAGGGAACCGAACGGCAGAAGUGGUGAUGGGCGCGUAUUUUCCGCCGGGCUCUUGGCCGGCGUACUUGUGCGCGUCCGUAGGUCAGCGUGGGUUGGGGCGUGGGAGUCGUUCAUGGGAAGGUCUUCGGACCAAUCUCGUGUUCAGGCCGCGCCUGAGACCUUCGGUGACGAAAUUCUUCCGUUCACCCCGUCUUGAAACACGGACCAAGGAGUCUAAAAUACGAGCGAGUGCGCCGGUGGCAACCCGGGGCGCGUAAUGAAAGUGAGACCGACGGUGGGAGGGCUUUACGUCCGCACCAUCAACCGACCAGGAUCCUUCGGGUGAAAGGUUUGAGUGUAGCUUGUAUUUUGGGACCCGAAAGAUGGUGAACUAUGCCUGAAUGGGGCGAAGCCAGGGGAAACUCUGGUGGAGGCUCGUAGCGAUUCUGACGUGCAAAUCGAUCGUCAAAUUUGGGUAUAGGGGCGAAAGACUAAUCGAACCAUCUAGUAGCUGGUUCCCUCCGAAAUUUCCCUCAGGAUAGCAGCAAUCGAAGAGUUUUAUCAGGUAAAGCGAAUGAUUAGAGGCCUCAGGGGUGGAACGUCCUUGACCUAUUCUCAAACUUUAAAUGGGUAAGAGCCAGGGGUUGCUUAAGUGAACCCCUCGGUCGAAUCGCGGUUGCUAGUGGGCCACCCGGGGUAAGCUCGGUUGGCGAUGCGGGAUGAUCCGAACGUCGAGUUAAAGUGCCUCACUGCCCGCUCACCUAGAUCCCACAAAAGGUGUUGGUUCAUUUAGACAGCAGGACGGUGGCCAUGGAAGUCGGAACCCGCUAAGGAGUGUGUAACAACUCACCUGCCGAAUGGAUUAGCCCUGAAAAUGGAUGGCGCUGAAGCGAGCGACUUAUACUCGACCAUCACGGCAAGUGCGACGCCGUGAUGAGUAGGAGGGCGUGGGGCUCGUGGCGCAUCCCGCGGCGUGAGCCGGGGUGAAACGGGCUCUAGUGCAGAUCUUGGUGGUAGUAGC